CCUACGGGAGGCUGCAGUAGGGAAUAUUGCUCAAUGGGCGAAACCCUGAAGCAGCAACGCCGCGUGGAGGAUGAAGGUUUUCGGAUCGUAAACUUCUUUUGUUAGAGAAGAUAAUGACGGUAUCUAACUAAUCAGCACCUGCUAACUCCGUGUCAGCAGCCGAGGUAAUACGGAGGGUGCAAGCGUUACUCGGAAGGACUGGGCGGAAAGAGCGCGUAGGCGGGUUAUCAAGUCAGAUGUGAAAUCCUAUGGCUCAACCAUAGAAGUGCAUUUGAAACUGUUAUUCUAGAGUAUAGGAGAGGAAGGUGGAAUGCUAGGUGUAGGGGUAAAAUGCGUAGAGAUAAGGAGGAAGACUCAUGGCGAAGGCGACCUGCUAGAACAUAACUGACGCUGAUGUGCGAAAGCGUGGGGAGCAAACAGGAUUAGAUACCCUAGUAGUC
rnacentral:rRNA from 1 species